GGAAGGAUCAUUAUUGAAAUAAACCUGAUGGGUUGUUGCUGGUUCUCCAGGGAGCAUGUGCACACCUUGUCAUCUUUAUAUCUCCACCUGUGCACCUUUUGUAGACCCUUUCCAGGGUCUAUGUCGCUUCAUUUACCCCAAUGUAUGUUAAUAGAAUGUUGUGCUCAUCAUUUAUGAUAAAAAAAAAAUAUACAACUUUCAGCAACGGAUCUCUUGGCUCUCGCAUCGAUGAAGAACGCAGCGAAAUGCGAUAAGUAAUGUGAAUUGCAAAAUUCAGUGAAUCAUCGAAUCUUUGAACGCACCUUGCGCUCCUUGGUAUUCCGAGGAGCAUGCCUGUUUGAGUGUCAUUAAUAUAUAUAUCAACCUUUCUCUUUUGUGAAUGGUUUGGAUGUGGGGGUUUGCUGGUCUCUUGAAAAGAGUUCGGCUCCUCUGAAAUGCAUUAGCAGAACAACCUGGUUCAUUGGCGUGAUAACUAUCUACGUUGUUGAAUGUCAGGGGGCGGUUCAGCUUUCUAACAGUCUUUGGACAAAUUAUCAUUAAUGUGACCUCAAAUCAGGUAGGACUACCCGCUGAACUUAAGCAUAUCAAUAAGCGGAGGAAAAGAAACUAACAAGGAUUCCCCUAGUAACUGCGAGUGAAGCGGGAAAAGCUCAAAUUUAAAAUCUGGCAGUCUUUUGGCUGUCCGAGUUGUAAUCUAGAGAAGUGUUAUCCGCGCUGGACCGUGUACAAGUCUCCUGGAAUGGAGCAUCAUAGAGGGUGAGAAUCCCGUCUUUGACAUGGACUGCCAGGGCUUUUGUGAUGCGCUCUCAAAGAGUCGAGUUGUUUGGGAAUGCAGCUCAAAAUGGGUGGUAAAUUCCAUCUAAAGCUAAAUAUUGGCGAGAGACCGAUAGCGA
rnacentral:sRNA from 1 species